rnacentral:tRNA from 1 species
GCCCACUUAGCUCAGAGGUUAGAG